rnacentral:lncRNA from 1 species
CUCCGUUGGCAACAACGCUGUAAACAAAACCAUGCGGCUAUGUUUCUAUCUUCGCCGGCAGUACAUACAAGUCAUGCGUUCGAAUAAGUUACUAUGAUCUUUUGUUUUUUGUAUAGUGGAUACGUCGGGUUCAGGAGACCCAGAGCUACAAAAUCCGACAGUAAUUUUUUUGAUAAUAGAUUACGAGACCCAGCAAGACAGACUUCUUAGUCUACUGGAAGAAGUAUCGCCUGGCAGUGAAAUAGAGAUUUGAUUCAGAAGAUGAUUGUUCUGAGACCGACAACUUCAAUUUAAAAAUACAAUAAGUCAAAAUACUAUUGCAAAAUUGCCAUGCAUUUUUAUGCCUCAAACAUGUCAAUAUUUACUGUGAUGAAUGUUCAACUUAAUCGAUUAUUUUAUGAUUUUUAGUUUGUUUCAUUAUUACUUUUUAUGUUUCUUUAAAAUAAAAUGUAAUAUUUUAUUAGGGAGUAAAUAAUUUUUUUUAUAAUAAGACGUUUUUUUUUGUAUCAAAAUGUAGGGUUGUAAAGAAAUGUCAAUAAAUAUUGAAAUAAUA